GCUGCAAACUCACUCCGGCAGCACCUGAACUAUGAUACAGAGAAGAAUAGCAUGGCUCCUGUACAAGGAUGGCACACAAAUUCAUGAAGAGUUCCAUGAAUUU